GACGUCUUGUUAUGUUGGUAAGGAGGCCUGCGGUCAGUGCUGGAGAUGAGCCUUUCUCCCAGGCCCUCUGCCUAGCUUCAGCCCUCUCCGGCGGGGAUCCUUCCCACCCCUCCCUCAAACCACCCCCCGGCCAGGUGCUGGGUCCCAGUCUGUAAGUGCCAGCCUUGGGUAGGGCCAGACUGGACCCCCAGCUAGAGUGAGCUCAAGCGGCCAGCACAGCCCUGCAGGGCCAGGCUACCCCUGGCCCUCCACUGGCGACUCAGGACUGCUCGCCCUUCCGUGGCAGGACCCACUCGGCAGCAGUUCACAGUGAGCAGUGGCGAGAGCCCACCACUGAGUGCCGGCAACAUCUACCAGAAGAGGCCGGUCCUGGGCGACAUCGUGUCAGGGCCCGUGCUCAGCUGCCUCCUCCACAUCGCCCGCCUGUAUGGGGAGCCUGUCCUCACCUACCAGUACCUGCCCUACAUCAGCUACCUGGUGGCCCCAGGGAGUGCCUCAGGCCCCAGCCGACUGAACAGCCGUAAGGAGGCGGGGCUGCUGGCCGCGGUGACACUGACUCAGAAGAUCAUCGUGUACCUCUCAGACACCACACUCAUGGACAUCCUGCCCCGGAUCAGCCAUGA
rnacentral:sRNA from 1 species